rnacentral:rRNA from 1 species
UGGGGAAUCUUGGACAAUGGGGGCAACCCUGAUCCAGCCAUGCCGCGUGAGUGAUGAAGGCCUUAGGGUCGUAAAGCUCUUUCGCCUGUGAAGAUAAUGACGGUAGCAGGUAAAGAAACCCCGGCUAACUCCGUGCCAGCAGCCGCGGUAAUACGGAGGGGGUUAGCGUUGUUCGGAAUUACUGGGCGUAAAGCGCACGUAGGCGGACCAGAAAGUUGGGGGUGAAAUCCCGGGGGCUCAACCCCGGAACUGCCUCCAAAACUAUUGGUCUAGAGUUCGAGAGAGGUGAGUGGAAUUCCAAGUGUAGAGGUGAAAUUCGUAGAUAUUUGGAGGAACACCAGUGGCGAAGGCGGCUCACUGGCUCGAUACUGACGCUGAGGUGCGAAAGGUGUGGGGAGCAAACAGGAUUAGAUACCCUGGUAGUCCACACCGUAAAACGAUGAAUGCCAGUCGUCGGGUAGCAUGCUAUUCGGUGACACACCUAACGGAUU